rnacentral:rRNA from 1 species
UACGUAGGCAGCGAGCGUUGUUCGGAGUUACUGGGCGUAAAGAGUGCGUAGGCGGUUUUCUAAGUUUGGUGUGAAAUCUCCCGGCUUAGCUGGGAGGGUGCGCCGAAGACUGGAAGGCUUGAGUAUGGGAGAGGUAAGCGGAAUUCCUGGUGUAGCGGUGAAAUGCGUAGAUAUCAGGAGGAACACCUGCGGUGUAGACGGCUUACUGGACCAUCACUGACGCUGAGGCACGAAAGCGUGGGUAGCAAACAGG